UGCACUCUACUUAUCCAAUUAUGGGAUUUUCUCUCCUAUAGGCAAGGGAACUUAAAACAGAUGAAAUGGAUAUGUUCCUUGAAAAACAUAAAAUGGCAGAACUAGUGCAAAUAUAGAACACUUGAACAGAACCAUCAAUAUUAAACAAAUAUUUCAGGAGGCUUCCCCUCCCUGGGACCCCAGGCUCAAGUUGUUUUACAGCUCUCCAGAAGACUAGAGCUCUGUAUGCUCUGGAUUGGAGACCUAGAGGGGUAAGCGGGGACCACUGAUGAACAAGGGGAGUGGUCCUCUGAAGGUGAAGCUGGGCCAUGAGAAGAGGUACCUGAAGCCUGGGAACCACGAAAUAUCAGAAGUGGGAGGGACCACAGAGACCACAGUUUCCAGAUUAUUGCACCAUCACCUCUCUGACCAGGCUGAGUGAAUGCCCUCUUCACUAGGUGUGUAUAUAGAGGAAAAAACGUAGCCCAUAUAGGAUUCAGUACUGUCUGCGGUUGCUGGCAUCUACUGGGAGUCUUGGAACAUAUUCUCCACCGAUAAGAGUGAACUGCUGUCCAGAUAUCAUUUCUCUAUCAGUCCAUGGAGAGGGAUUCCCGCCAGAAAGACUGUAUCUAGGAAUUAACUUAUUCAGGAUUAUGCACACGCUCUAUGGAGACAAGUUUAAAAUG